AUAUAUAUAUAUAUAUAUAUAUAUAUAUAUAUAUAUAAGGCCUGCACGAAUGAUCACAAAUGAUCUCACAGCAAUAGAAUCAAACGUCUAUCCAGCCAACAGACAGAGGAGCUUGCCAACGGUGAAUUAGCCGGCACAGAGGGGCUCCUACCCCGAGGGUUGCUGGUUCCAAUCCAGAUUUGUUCAGACGUCCCAUAAGUGGCUGAGGAGAAGGAAUGAACAAGACUUCCUCCAGUCCUCAGUAGGAAGAGUUGACACUUCUGUUGAAUUUCAAGAAAAACUUCAGGUUUUAGGGGCUGAUUUUAAAAUCACCAAUCAGAGGUUCUACAGGCAGUUUUUCCAGGCGUUUUAUCCCUAAAUGGGUUAAAAAGCGUCUGAGAAUGAGGGCAGACGUCAGAGCAAACAGGUUCUCCAGAGAUCUGUCUGAUACCAAGUAGCACAGCAACUUAUUUCACCCUUUGGCUUACCUGGCAGGAGCUAUUUUUAAGUCAUUUUUUUCAUAAAUCUUCUGCAGACCUGACUGGUAUGUGCAGAGCGCCUGUGAGAUAACCUGUUUAAACCCUUGUUUUGUUUUGGUGUGCUUGCAGAGUGUAGUGGUGUUGUGGCAUGCAUAAACCAUGGAGCACACAGAGAGGAGACAUGUUUCUGUGGUUUUUACUGUACUUUUGGAACUAAAUCAGUAUCGGUUUUAAAGUCCUGCAUGCUUUAUUGCAUUUUUAGUGAGCAAAUGUUGUUUAUGAAAUCAUUUUAGGGUGUUACCACCUGUCUUAGAUAGUAGAAAUAAACAGGAAUGAGACAUGAGAUAGUGGACUUAGCCCGGAUUUGACCUGAAGGUGAAACUAUUUUUGCUGUCCUGUAGAAAAAUCAGCAGUUUUUUUGUUUUAUUUUAUUUUUUUAGCUUUUUAAAGACGAG